AGCAGACACGAGACUCAGCAGAGCUGUUGCAUUAUGUUUCUUUAUUGAACAUAACGACAGCCUGAGGCGGAGGAAGCACUCACAGCUUUUACUAAGGUGGCUGUACAAGUGUAUUAACAGAAAUGUACUCAUAGAACCAAAGGAUCACCUGCCUCACGUGUCUCUGUCUCUCCUCACUGAUCUACACACUCAGGUAAUACCUCCCCAGUCCUAGUCCUCUGCAAC